AUGGCGAACGAACAGGGAUCAGCUUGGGUUGGAAACCGGGGCUUCUGCCUUGGAUUGUGGCCUUUAGACAUACUACCAACGGCGGCGCGAGCGUAAGCCUCUUGGAACAGAGCGUCUACGUGGGUGAGAAUCCUGUGUUUCGCUUGAUGCCCGCCGUGCACGGUACUUGCUCUCAGAGUCACGCUCCUCGGAAUUGGAGCGUAAAUUGGGUGGUAAAUUUCAUCUAAAGCUAAAUACAGGCUCGAGACCGAUAGCAAACAAGUACCAUGAGGGAAAGAUGAAAAGGACUUUGAAAAGAGAGUUAAAAGUGCUUGAAAUCGCUGAACUGGAAGCGAAUGGAACUAGUGCUCUGGUUGAGAUUGCUGUAAAUGGCUGCGACAUCUGGGCUCUGGAACGCAAGUCCUUUGUCUGGCUUGAAGUAGUCGCUUGCAAUGUGUCUCAGCUUGAACAUCAACUUCUAUGCAUACGUGAGGAUGGCCCUUGGCUCAUGCUGUGUUGCUGUGGCGAUACUCUUGUGCUUCUGGGGAUUCAGGUGUGUGUGGAUUGUUGAUCAAUUAGUUCCAUUCGACCCGUCUUGAAACACGGACCAAGGAGUCUAGCACUUGUGCAAGUUCUCAGGUGUCAAACCUCUGUGCGCAAUGAAGGUGACUGCUGGGAUUUUUUGCACCAGCAACCGACCAAUCAAUUGGGAGAAGUUUGAGUAA
rnacentral:rRNA from 1 species